GACGAACGCUGGCGGCGUGCUUAACACAUGCCAGUCGAACGGAAAGGCCCUGCUUUUGUGGGGUGCUCGAGUGGCGAACGGGUGAGUAACACGUGAGUAACCUGCCCUUGACUUUGGGAUAACUUCAGGAAACUGGGGCUAAUACCGGAUAGGAGCUCCUGCUGCAUGGUGGGGGUUGGAAAGUUUCGGCGGUUGGGGAUGGACUCGCGGCUUAUCAGCUUGUUGGUGGGGUAGUGGCUUACCAAGGCUUUGACGGGUAGCCGGCCUGAGAGGGUGACCGGCCACAAUGGGACUGGGAUACGGCCCAGACUCCUACGGGAGGCAGCAGUGGGGAAUAUUGCACAAUGGGCGGAAGCCUGAUGCAGCAACGCCGCGUGCGGGAUGACGGCCUUCGGGUUGUAAACCGCUUUCGCCUGUGACGAAGCGUGAGUGACGGUAAUGGGUAAAGAAGCACCGGCUAACUACGUG
rnacentral:rRNA from 1 species